rnacentral:rRNA from 1 species
UAGAGUGUUCAAAGCAGGCAGAUCCAAUUUUCUGCCACCGAAUACAUUAGCAUGGGAUAAUGGAAUAGGACCCUGUCCUCCUAUUUUCAGUUGGUUUUGGCAGCGCGAGGACUAGGGUAAUGAUUAAUAGGGAUAGUUGGGGGCAUUAAUAUUUAAUUGUCAGAGGUGAAAUUCUUGGAUUUAUGAAAGAUUAACUUCUGCGAAAGCAUCUGCCAAGGAUGUUUUCAUUAAUCAAGAACGAAAGUUAGGGGAUCGAAGACGAUCAGAUACCGUCGUAGUCUUAACCAUAAACGAUGCCGACCAGCGAUUAGGAGACGUUGAAUACAAAACACCACCAUCGGUGCGGUCGUCCUUGGCGUCGGUCUUUCGGGGCCG